CUAAAGCUCUUUGUGUUCGACUCUAGCAGUUGUGCUGGAACUGUUGCCCUUUUCUGGUCCUUCCGGGGGGUGCUUUGGGGAUUUACUUCUCUGUUCAUCUUUUCUCUCGCCACUCGCUUAACGUCUCAAACGUUGUCAAACAGUUGUUGUGCCUGCAUGGGAGCCUGUCGGUAUGGCUGUUUUUUGUUUCGGUAGCAGCUUCUGAGCGUCUUACGAAGCGAGUCAUUGGGUGGAAGUUUCUCCCGGGGACCAGACCUGUGGCAUCAGUUCCGGGUUAUUCUCUGCGUUCAUUGUCGCUUGACCAUGCUAGUCCACCUAUCGCUUUUCCAUAUCCAUUGCCGGUUUGUUUGCUUAAUCGAUUAUAGAUUGGCUUGUGUGUGUGGCACAGGCGACUCGGCGGGGUUGUCGGGUAUUUGAGAAUGGGGGUUUGGUAUAUGAGAAUGGGGGUUUGGAUAUAUGAGAAUGGGGGUUUGGUUAUAUGAGAAUGGGGAUUUGGUAGAUGAAAAUGGGGGUUUGGGUAUAUGAGAAUGGGGGUUUGGGUAUAUUGGGGAGAUGUAUUGUUGGGAGCGAGUAGUAACUGAACUGCGGAGGAAUUCAUUUCCGUGCUUCAUUUGGAAACAAUGGACCUUCCUUUUCCCCAAUGCUUAAUCAGUGAUCCGUGGCGGGAUGGCCAUUUGGAUAUUUUACUAUUCAAAUUGGCCGAACACGCCGCGGAAGCUGAUUAACUAAUGGAAUUUGAGUAAUUAACGUUGUUUUAUGAAUAAAUAAUGAUGUACAAUGCAUAAAACCCUAGUUUACAGGUUGUAACUGCUCUUUCUGUGCUGAUCGCCAAGACAGAGAAAGUGCAAGAUAAAGAAA